UAGACGAGAGAAAUAUCUGUACGGAUGGAAAAAUAAGAUUACGGCAGAUGCUUGUCGUAACAAAACAAUGGCUAAACUGCAGAUUUUAAACGUUUUUUUAACGGAAAGAUUAACUUUAGCGGCCCAGGAAAUAUUUAAGGUUGUGGAAGACAUCUUUUCGGAGUACAAUGACGAGAUAUGUCGUUCCAGACAGGAGAUUGAGCUGCUUAGGAAGAGACUGCAGCAGGCUGGGCUUCUGCUCGACUCUGAAAUACACUCAUGCUCCUUUGAGUCACAAGAAACUCAGACAUUAUCAGAGGAGCAGUGGAGGUCUGAACAAGAUGGAAAAGAUACAGAAGUGCAGAUGAAACUAGAGGUCUACACACAGCAGGAGGAGAAUAGAGUCCAUAUGUCUGUUUAUAAUGAAUCAUCAUCUUUACGGCAAAGUAUGGACACUGGCCAUAAUCAGAUGACCAACAUAGACAUUGAAAGUCAAAUAACGGACAGCAGUGAGAAUGAUUUUCCCUUCACGAACCAAGAUGCUGAGAUUAAAAAUGAACCUGGGCUUAGUGAAAAAGGCAGGGACUGUCAGGUACAACAAUUCACUAGACACUGCUUGGAUGAUCUGGGGGCGAGUGACGCAUCAAGUGUUAACAAAACAGAAGUCAUCAACAUCGACUCUCCUGCAUAUAAGACACACGCAUUUCAUCUGCCCCCUAGAACCCAGGAGAGGUUGACACAGCAGCAUAGAAUGGAACUGGCCCAAAUUAGAGAGAGAAUGUCUUCAAGUAUGUGGCUCCAUUACUCUGAGCAUAAAAGUAUGAAAAGUCAUCCAUCUGACUGUGAGGGUGAAGUGUCCAAUUCUGACAAGCGGAAAGAGCACAAUGCAAGAAAAGCACAGGCCUGGAGGGAUCGACUGAAAAAAGACCCUGCAAAAUUUGCUGAGUACAAAGCUUUGGAAGCUGCAAGAGCAAGAGCGUAUAGAAGAAAAAAGACGGCUGCUGCUAGAGAAACUGAUCGGGAAAAUAAUCGUGAGCGACAGAGAAGACUAAGAGCUAUAAAGAAGUUACAACAGUGUAAAGCUGAGGAAGAGCUUUCGCCACCUAUGAUAAGAAAAGUCUCACAAGAAGAAAAAUACUACAUCCUUGGAGAAGAGACACUUUAUUGUCACUAGUUUGAUGGUUGCAAAGAAGUACAGAAUGCAACAUUCUAUUGUAAUCCUAAGGUAGCAUGAGAACUUACUUACAUGAGGACUGUAAAAAACAAAUCCUCAUGGAGAUCUCUACAGAAGGCUUGUGAACUUUGGAAGCUGUAAAAAUCCAGAAAACAAAGUUUUGUGCUUUCCAGUUUUUUUACACACGUGUUGUCUCUCAAUGUGUUACAAACCUAAACCAAUGUCUCUGUGAAUAUUGUACUGGAGUUUAGUGAAGCUUCAGAGCCUGCACAGAAUUCUCAAUGCUACCAACAGUGACAAGUGUAUAUAAGACUGAAGAUCAAAGACAAUCACAAAGUGAGGAACUGUGAUUACACAAAGUGUAUUAAAAGAACUUGUUUUGAUUGUGGUGUUGUGCUACUCAAGGAAAAGUUAAAGGUGUAGUGGAUGCCAGUGUCCUGGCAAAAGUGGGAGAGUAAGAUUUUUAGCCACGAUGGAAGCCAGUGUUCCAACUCAAACUGCCUCUGCCUGCCAAUGUCAUACUUUGAACACAGAGGUGAUAAGUGAUUAAAUAAGUGAUUUUAACCAGGCUGCGAUUGAAGGACAGAAUGCCUUGACUGAUAAUUCUGAUACAAGCAAAGAUGACCAACGUCCUUGUGAACAAGUAGAAGAUCUGUGGAUGAAACAUAAUACACAUAUAACACAGAUGUACAAGAUCUGACUUCCUGUACACCCGUCCACCUAGGUGGUACUUGGGCAGAGUUCUUAAAUCACCAACUGACAGAGGAGUCUGGAUGAAGUUUCAGGAGCAGUGCAAAGUCUGGAGUUUGUUUCCCUGGCCCAAGACUCCUGAUCUUAAACUAGUCGAUCCGCUGGGAAUAUUUAACGGACCUGUAAACUUGAGGAGUUUAAAAAUUCAAGAUAAUGAAUGUUUAGUUGAUGUUAAGCAUAAUUCGAUGCUUAAUUCGAAUGCACAUGAAGAACUGACUUGCCAUAAGUGACAUUUCACAACAAGUUUAUACUAUCCCAGUAGUUACUUGUGUUUUUGAUAGGUUUGUUUAAUAGUUUCGUAAUUGUUCUAUGUCGUAUUUUAAUUCUUGUGACGUGUAUUAUGACGUGACAGGCUAUUCAGCUGUGAAUAGUUUGUACUCUUCACUUGAGCAGCUUUAUAUGUUACUAAUGCUAAAGCAUGUUUUGACCCCUGCUAGUCAGUUAUAUUUUCAGUAAAAUUAGCUGAAAUAUACAUUUGUAUUACAUGUAAUAAAAUACGUCAGCAAUUUAACAUGCGUACGUAUACUCUCCAUUGCUGUUUGUUUUUGUUUUGGCCGAUAGUAAUGAAUGUCUUUUUAAUGAUUAUAAGGUUAUUGCAUUAUAAAAAAAGUAUACGUUUGGCUUUUGCACACAGACUUUUGUAGUUUGUUCACUCAAUUGUAAAAAAUAAGAACAAGUAUAUUCAGAUUUUACUGUCAUAAAGUAACAUACAUAAGCAUAAAGAUAUUUUUUUAAAUAAAAUUUAGUUUGAUUACUGUCUUGGUUCUAAUAUAAGAUGAUUUUAUAUCAAAUAUUUUGAUGAUUUCAUAUAAAAUUUGUUACAUUUAAUUACCCCUUUGCAGAUUUUGAUUCAUAUUUGCCUUUCAUGGUCUAUGGAGAGACCUAAGAAAAUGAGGUACAGUGUUACUGUACAUCAUAAGCGCUUAUCAUUUUAAUUGAUUCAAAUUCAAUGAGGCGUUUUGUCUAUCUGACAGCAGUUGUUCUGCUCUGUUUUUUAACAAACGAAAGCUAAUAACAAAAUAGUGAGUGUGACACACUACCUUCGUUUGUAA